rnacentral:rRNA from 1 species
GCAGCCGCGGUAAUACGUAGGUGGCAAGCGUUGUCCGGAAUUACUGGGUGUAAAGGGAGCGUAGGCGGGGUAGCAAGUUGAAUGUUUAAACUAUCGGCUCAACCGGUAGUCGCGUUCAAAACUGCUACUCUUGAGUGGAGUAGAGGCAGGCGGAAUUCCUAGUGUAGCGGUGAAAUGCGUAGAUAUUAGGAGGAACACCAGUGGCGAAGGCGGCCUGCUGGGCUCUAACUGACGCUGAGGCUCGAAAGCGUGGGUAGCAAACAGGAUUAGAUACCCC